CAGAAACAGACAAACAAAAGUCCAACUUAAAGUCUACUUUGGGCCCUCAUCUUGCCAGAUAACAGAAAACAUAAUUUAGUCAUUUCUUGACAAAUGGAGUCACUGCGUAUACAUGUGCAGUCUCUUUGGGAUAGACGGUCAAGGGACUUCUCUCUCACUGAGUGACAUCUGAAUUCUGUUUGCCAAUGUCAUGACCUGAUGUUAAUGUUCUCUUCCAGGAUUUGGUCCUUGCUUGUUGGGUGGCCAGGAAAUAACAGCUUUGCACAGGCUGCUCAAGGUGAGGCUGCUUCUGAAGAAACCCAACAGUAGACUCUGGUGUGAAGAACAAAGACACACAGCUUGAGCCUGGGGAUGGACACCUCCCAGCAGCCCUGGCUGCCACUCACUGCUGUGCUGCAGCCUGAGGUGUGUGGGGAUGGGUGCCGUACACACUGUGUCUGCAUGUACAACACACGUGCAUCCAGGUGCACAUCUAUUGGUGGAUGUGGGCAGGUGUCCACGUCUGUGUGCCAGCUCAGAUGUUAACAGCAGGAAAGGAAAACUGAACCAGCUCCUUAUGUAAAUAUUGGACAACUAGAACACUUUUCUGUUUCUUUGAGUCAUUUCAGAGUUUCUGAAACUUUGCCGCCACUCCCCUUGGAUGGAGGGUGGGAGUGGAGGUUGGGGGAAAGGAGGUUAUUUUUGGCCCGGGGAUUUCAGAGCUCCUCCGUUAUGUGUGUUUCUCCUCUCUCUCCUGCCCACCGAAGCCCUCAGAGGGGAAGAUCUGCUGAAGAGAGGGAGAGGUCCUUGCAGUCCCUUGGCAAAUCAUGUGCUACCUCUGUGGCUCUGGAUAGCAGAGAAUUCACUGAAGGACAUGAGAUGCCGAGUGGCUCCCCCAUGCCAACCUACCCCAAUGCUCCUAACUCAAGAGAAAAGAGGUGGACAGACACCAGAUUCAAAACAGUUCCAGGUUUAAAGACAGAAGCUGUAGGUUUGCAAUCUCAGUUUGUGUCCCUGACCAUGUCAUUCAGCUGCUCUGAGUGCAGGGCUCUUGCCUGUGGAAAGAGGAUGAGGAAGCCUGCCCCAUGGUCCCUUAGGGUGGCUGUGAGUCUCCCAUGAGACUAGCAGCCUGAGGAGGGCAUCUGAAAGAACACUUUAGAACCAGAUAGAUACAGGUUCAAAUCUUAUCUCUGACAUUUCCUUAACCCAACCUUGAGAAGUAAAUUAACCUCUCUGAGCCUCUGUAUUCCCAUCAGUAAAAUGGUGAUUAAAAAUAUUUUAAUUUUAUUUAAUUAAAUGAUGUAACAUAUAAACUACCCAUUAAUUCACUGGCAAGUAGAAUGUGCUUAUAAAUGUCUGUUUCCUCCUUUCUAUCUACCCUGAUACUUCCCAGGACAGUGAAGGAAAAUAGAGACGAGUAUAGGUAGAAAAAUGGGAGGGAAAUAGAUUUGAGGCAUAGAGCAUUUUUCUUUGGUUAACCAAUGCAGAGGGUUACUAGAGAGUUAAUUUAAUCCAAUAUACAAACUUUACUGCCACAGACAAUAAGGACAGGUAGAGAAUGAAGAGCUGUAAUAUUCAAAGAUUCGUACUACAAAUUGACAGGAAAAACACAAACCACCCAAUAAAAAAUAGGAAAAAGUGUAAAAUAAAGCAAUCCAAAUGAACAAUAAACAUAGUAAAAGAUACUUAAAUUCACUAGAAGUCAGGGAAAUAAAAAUUAAUAUAAAUUUCAUGUAAUUAAUGAGACAUUAUUUUACAUUCAUCCAGCUGGCAUACCUAAAAAGAGCAUUAACACUUGUUGCUGGUAAGUGUUCCAUGAAAAGAACGUUUGCAUAUAUUGCUGGUGGAAAUGCAAAUUGUCACAGCAUUUGUAUAAAUCAAUAGGGCAACAUCUAUUAAAACUGUAAAACAUAUUAAUAUGGUUUGGCUCUGUGUUCCCACCCAAAUCUCAUUUUAAAUUUUAAUCCCCAUGUUUCAGGGGAGGGACCAGGUGGAUGGUGAUUGGAUCAUGGGGGCGGAUUUCCCCCACGCUGUUCUCGUGACAGUGAGUUCUCACGAGAUUUGCUGAAUUUUAAGUGUGUGGCCCUUCCCGCUUCGCUCUCUCACUCUUCCUCCUGCUCUGCCAUGUGAUGAAGGUGCCUUGCUUCCCCUUCGCCUUUCACCAAGAUUGUAAGUUUCCUGAGGCCUCCCAGUCAUGCUUCCUAUUAAGUCUGAAGAAUUGUGAGUCAAUGAAACCUGCUUUCGUCAUAAAUUACUCAGACUCAGGUAGUUCUUUGUAGCAGUGUGAGAAUGAAC
rnacentral:lncRNA from 10 species